rnacentral:rRNA from 1 species
UACGGGGGGGGCAAGCGUUGUUCGGAAUUACUGGGCGUAAAGGGCGCGUAGGCGGCCUACUAAGUCGGACGUGAAAUCCCUCGGCUCAACCGAGGAACUGCGUCCGAUACUGGCAGGCUGGAAUCCGGGAGAGGGAUGUGGAAUUCCAGGUGUAGCGGUGAAAUGCGUAGAUAUCUGGAGGAAUACCGAUGGCGAAGGCAGGUCUCUGGGCUAUAACUGACGCUCAUGCACGAAAGCGUGGGGAGCAAACAGG